UUCCAGUGUAGUGCGUUGAUUUCAUACCAAAGUCAUACUUAACAUUCCACUUAUACUGUCACACCUCUGAGAAAUAUUACGGGAAAAAAACAAGGCGCCAAAUUAAAAGAAGCUAACUAAAAGUGACCAUCUGCUCUCAGUGAGAAGAAGAAGGUGACUGCCAGAUUAUAGAUAUAAAAGUUCAUACCUGGAUCAGCCAACACUUCCAGCCUUGUUGCUCAAGAGGAAUCCAACAGUUUUACCUCCAGGAACAGAGAGAGAGAGACACACACACACACACACACACACACACACACACACACACACACACACACACACACACACACAUCCAUUUGGAGGAAUACACAACUUCAGUGUGGUUUGGACCUCUGCAUCCCAAAAGGUCUCCCACAGAUCCUUUGAUUUUGGGGCUCGGGGUCGGGCCCAGGGGGAGCCGCCACCAUUGCGUCCAACGAGUGGAGCGCCAACGGUAGCCCAGAAGAUGGGCUGGACGGGGAAAA